rnacentral:rRNA from 1 species
GAUGAACGCUGGCGGCGUGCCUAAUACAUGCAAGUCGAGCGGCAGCGCGAGUAGUUUACUACUUGGCGGCGAGCGGCGGACGGCUGAGUAACACGUAGGAACAUACCCCAAAGUGAGGGAUAACUGCUCGAAAGAGUAGCUAAUACCGCAUGUAAUCUAAGGAUUAAAGCUUCGGCGCUUUGGGAAUGGCCUGCGUUCGA